rnacentral:misc_RNA from 1 species
AAAAGUCGUAACAAGGUCUCCGUUGGUGAACCAGCGGAGGGAUCAUUACCGAGUUUACAACUCCCAAACCCCUGUGAACAUACCUAUCGUUGCUUCGGCGGGAUGCCCCAGUUUGACGCAAGCUGGACCCAGGCGCCCGCCGGAGGACCCAAACUCUUGUUUUAUUUAUGUAUCUUCUGAGUAAACAAGCAAAUAAAUUAAAACUUUCAACAACGGAUCUCUUGGUUCUGG